UUUCAGCAUCGUUUUUGUAGUUCUCCUUGUAGAAAUCUUUCACCUCAUUGGUUAAAUAUACUCCUAGGUAUUUUAUUUUAUUUUUGGCAGCUGUUGUAAAAGGGAAAAUUCUGUACCUGUUAAUCCAUCUUGAUUGGAAGUGUAAGCCCAUGUCAUUAAAAUUUUAGGUUAAGAAAAAAAAUAUCUAUUUUUGUUCUUACUCUAAUGUGAACUGAAUGCCUGAGAGAUGUUGUGGGCAGUUAAUUAUAAAGUAGUGUAAUUAUGUUAAUUCUGAAGUCAUUAGAGAAGAUGAGAAAAUAGAAUACAAUGUUUAUUUUAUCCCUGUAACUAUAGCUUGAUAAGAUUGAAUCUUAGAAUUAGGGUCAAAAGCUGAGCUAUAUCAUGUAGCAUUUUAUUUUCUGCCUAGGGUUAUUUAAGAAAAAGCAUCCUAAAAAUAUUUAAGACCCUUUUAAAGGAGAGCAGAUUCAAAUAAACUCCUUUGAGAGGAUUAUCUCUCCUUGCAGAUACAGAGUAUGUAACUGGUAGGCUGUACCGCACAGACUGAUCUACAGCUUGUCUAGCAAAAGUGGUUCUAUCUUGUGAUGAUUUGCCUGGCAAAACCAAACAUAAUUCAUGGAUAAUAAUGUCACCUAUUCCUGUGAUAAUUGAAAUAGUUAAGGUUAUAUUUGUUUAACAUUGGGACAUAAUUAUCUUCUAAUAAAGCUAAAGUUUCUGUUAAGAAUGCUAUUUUCUUUGAAAAGCGAGUUACUUCUGUAGCUAAUACCUAUGUUGAGAGUGUGAUAUGAUGAUAUUCAUAGACUCAAUGUCCAACCAAGAUUGACAUCUCCUGCUACUGAUAUUUUCUGUUUAGGAUAUAUGAUAAAUAUUUUAUUUUUCUUUUAAGAAAAAAGAAGUUUUAAAGAAAACUUCACCGAGUUCAGGUGAAGUAUUGUCUUUUAUUUAUGUGCUACCAGACGCCAAAGUUAACUGAUUUAAAAGUUGAUUUACUUUUUAUUAAGUUCUCCAGCACGGCACAUUAGUUGUAUGUGGAUUUUUUUUUUUUAGGGUGUCUUUGUUUUUUCCAACAUAAUGUUUCUGCAUUCAUCUAUUCUUAAAUUGAAAACCACAUAAUUUACUUCUUAUAAAGUCUUAAAUGUGAAACCAAGAAAUUUAAUUGAGCAGUAAAAACACUCUCUGAAUGUAGACCAUGAUCUCAGUUUCUUCCAUUUUUCCCCCUAGUAGAAAAUAGACUUCUACAUAAGAAAGCUAAAAUAUGUUAAUAUUUUUGUUAAAGGUUUAAUAUUAUCAGAAUACAACCCAAAAAGUAAAUCAAGUUACAUAAUUACAUUUUUAUUUAUUAAAUAUGGAAUAAUCUACUGAAUUGCAAUAUAUUAAAUAUACUGUUUCCUCUUAAAUGAAACUGCUUGACAGUUAAAAAAAAAUAUGGGCUUGCCAUACUUGCAGGUCUUUUAUGUUUUUAGAUCUUAUUUACUUAUUUAUAUUUUUACAGUGAAAUAGUAAUUUAAAGAGAGGGUGGGAAAAUUCUGUAAUCACUUGAGUUUCCUCUAGUCACAUUUUUUUGCAAACCAGUUCCUCCUUUGAACAUCUUUAUAAUUUAAGUCUUUAAAAAUGCUUUCAUUUCAAACACUAAAUAUUUCUAUAUUGGAAAAGUUUUUACAGUAUAUUAUUUAUUUUUUCCACAUGCCCCACCCCUUUACAAUAUAUUUUAAAUGCUACCUUUGGAUUUCAUUUCUUUCUGUUUUGUAAGAAUCAUAUUAUAAUUCACCCUGGUAAAGUCAGUUUUUCUUUCAGUAUUAUGUGUACAGUGUACAUUGUACUGUACAAUGAUUGUAUUAAUGAAAAACACAUAGUACACAUUCAGUGUACAUUUUCUUUCAGUACUACGUGUUUUUCAUUAAUGUACACUUUUCAUAAUGUAUAUUGAAACUGAACAUGUUGAAGCUCAGCAAGAGUUUUCGAUUAAUUUUGUUUAUAUUCGGAACAAUUAGAAUGUCUAAGUGUAAAGCAGAGUGUGAGCUUUGGAGUUGGGCAUCUGGCUCGGUCACUUACUUGGCAAACUCUUUUUGUCUUGAUGAACUUCCAUAUCUCUGUGGGAAGAGACAAAAUGGGAAAAACAAAAAUCUCAUACAUUUUGGAUUGAUUUAAUUCUCACAAAAUGUCUAUGAAGCAAAUUCUAAUGUUAUCUUCACAGAAAAAAAUGGCCAAGCUGAAUAGCACCAUGUGUAAGCACAUGGGCCGUUCUGCAGAACUGGCAGAGCUUCUGGCAUAGAAGAAAGGGAGAGAGGAAAUGUUCUAGAGUCAAAGAGACUUAAGAGACCUCAUUUGGAUCCUCACUUGAAAAAACAACUGUAAAAAGGUAUUUUGGAGACAAUUGGGGAAAUGUGAAUAAAAUUCAUUAAAUAAUGUCAAGGAGCUAUUAUUUUUGUUUGGUAUGAUAAUGGUAUUAUGGUUAGAUUUUCUUAAUGCCCGUAAUUUAUAGAUAUAUGUAUAAGUGAAAUCACAUAAGGGAUAAGAUUUACCUUUAAAUACAUUAGAAGAAAACCCCACAACUGAUUAAAUGAAGCAAGUGUGACUUAAUAGUUGCAAACUUUUGAUAUUUGUGGAAUCUGGGCAAUGGUUAUGUUUGAAAUGUUUCAGAAUUAAAAAAAGAAAAAGAAAUUAUGCAGUGGACUUAGAUAACUGGGAUACUAGUAACACAGAUACAGUGACUACGCAAACAUAUGUUCCCAGGUGCCUGAAGGAGAACUCUCUUGAAUGUCAGUGUAUGACAAAAAUACUUUUAUCCGAAUACUUUCAUAUUCACUUUGUAAUUAUUGUGAAUGUGUAGAUAUGCUAAUUUGCCCUAAUAUGGUUUAUUAAGUUGGACUUUCCAUCUAAACUGUAUUUUCUCUGAGACUGAGAAGAUCUGUUUGAUAUCUUUACUCUAUCCUUUUCCCAUUGCCCUUGCAUGAUUACUAUUCAAUGAUUGCUGAAUUAAACAACACUUUCGUUUAGGAAGAUGCUGGAUGCUAAACACCUAUCUUACUCAGGCCUCUUAUUGACAUAGCAAAUUCUGUACAUGGUACAUAUACAUGUGUUCCUUUUCUGAUUUAAAUAAAACUGAUGGGCAUUUAUUUCUCCCAUUGUGUAAUAUAGUCUGUGGAAAUAGUAGCCAGUGUAGGAUGCCUCAGCUCUCCCUUGCUCUGCAGGCCAAAACUCAGCUUUUAAAGUGGCAAUUCCCAGUUAUUUUGUUAAAUGGAUGUUAAAGUCAUCCCUGGGUUGGAGUUUAGACUUUUAUUGAAAAGCUAUUCUACUAAUCACCAGUUAAUGGAUGAAUAAAAUUCACACUUUUGGUCUGUUCAUUGUUUUAUUGUCAACACAUUCUUUCUCAAGGGAGAGAAUGAAUUUGGAAGUUGGAAGUCUUCAAAUUAGGGAAGUCUGACAAAUAGGCCAACUCUAACAUUCAUAUUUACAACGGAGAUUUUAAAAGAAGUUUGACAUAAUACACCUCACAAAUGGAUGCCAAUAAGUCAGUUUUAGGCAUUAUUUUUGAAUACAAGGAGACUGUUCAUUUCUUCUUUUUUAAUAUAAACACCCCAUAUGUUUAAAUGUUUGUAAGGCAUGUUGUUAUCUUAAAUAAUAUUUUUAAAAAUCAAAGUGGUACAGACAAAAGUUCCUGGAAAAGUGCUGGUAUCUUUUUUUUUUUUUUUUUUUUUUUUGAUUGCUGAGUAAUCCUGAAAAGAAUUUCUUCCAAAUAAAGGGAUGUAGCUUUGUAUUAAAUUUUAUAAUAAAAGUUCUCAAAUGAUAGAUUCAAAAUUCUAAACAUUUUUAAGGAUUACAAAAAGAUAUUCCUGAAAUCUUGCAUGUUUUAAAACAUAGUACAAAGUAAGCUUUUUAUAUGUAGGCAUUUGUAACUUAAAAAAAUGUUUUAUUUGUGUUUUCAGAAUAAACGAGCUAACAUAAAUUGUACAUAUUUACAGCAAUAAACUACAUUUCAGAAGCUGCACAACAACUUUUGUAAGUACAGCUGAUGAUUUUUGACACCAGCUUUCAAAUGUGUUUUCAUUCUUUCAUUUGCUGCAACAUUUAAACUGUUAUAGUACCAAAGCAAAGGAAACACCAACUUAUUUUAUAGCAAAGCCACAUUAUUAACAAAAGUACUGAGUGAACGCCAGUCCUGUGACUGUUAUGGUAUCUCUGAGUCCUGAAAUCGAGAGCACAAGCAAUUCUUGUGUCCAUACCUGAUUGCAUGUAAAUUGAUUUUGCAUUUUACAAGAACACACAAUUACUCAAGGAAUGAUUAAGAAUAGAAAAAAGGCCAUGAAGGGUAAAAGGGUCAGGAAUCAGAGGCCACUGAACAGUUUCUUAUUCACUGAUUCACUGCUUAGGAGGAAAUUGAUAUUUUUCUUUCACGUGUAUAAAUCACAGUCAACAGGCUUCAUGGAUUUUGUCCACAGAUAGCUUUUGAGAUAACAAAGCCAUAAAUGUCACAUACAUUAAGCACAUAAAAAGGAAUUAAUGAAACAGUUAGAGUAUUUUAGUCAAAUCCCUAACAGAAAGGGUACGGUUAAGCACACACAGUAUGAAAGUUUGCUUUCAAAUGUAAAAAGCAACUACAGAAAAUCACAAGUUUCAUUGGACAGAACAGCAGUUUCAAUCAGAAAAUGCAGCAUAUAUUGAUACAAAAUAGAAAACUUGAAAUAUAAAAGUAAGGAGUCUACCUUUAACUUUCUUGGCAUUUUUUUAAACCUGUCCCAUUUCAUUACAAUUUCUGCAGGUUUUACUGAAAUACUCAUUCUUGACAUUUAGCUUCUUUAGUGGUCUGGUAGGUAUACAAAAGUAUUACCUGCUUAGGUAAGAAAGCGGAUGUUUAUGUCAAAGAGCCUUAAAAUAUUGUAAUUUAUGUUUAUUUGCAAUGAAAGAAGUCUACUUGGUAAAAAUAAAGAGGGAGAAAAGGAUUCUUUUAUUUACAAGAAUUUUGUAAUAUCAAUCAGGAUAAGAAUUGGUUAAAUCAUGUUUGGUAGGAGGAUAGACAGCAAAUUGGUAACUGGAGAUCUAAAAACACAAGGUAUAAGACGCUUAACGUGUAACAUAUUUGGUGAGUUUAGCAUAACGGAUUUUGAGAGGCAACAGAAGGUAUGUAUUUCUUUCUGUAUAUACAUAGCACCUGCUUUUGAAAGCCCCAGCUAUUUAGUACAGGAUGCUAUGAAUUAAAAAGCAGGAGACUGGUGUGGAAAGUUCAGCUAAUUUUCUGAUUCAAUCAAGUUUUAGGUGAGGCGGUAGCCAAAGAGGUGUCCCAUUGCUGGCAGGAUAGUAAUUUCCUAAGUUUUAGUCUCAUGAGUCCUGCUUUCUCAAACCUCUUGAAUCACUGUAGGAUUAGGCCCCUUGAGUAAAGUCAAGAGGAGCAAAAUAAUGAUUCAGAGAUGAUAGAUAGGUUUUCAAGCAAGCCACCCUCAACCCAGAUGCCUUUCUUUCAAAAGCAAUUUUAUUUGUAUUAAACAAUAUUAAACUUCCCAAUUUUCAUGUCUGUUAACCUUUUAAAUGACAUGACCUUUCACAUUAGCCAUCAGGCUCCCAUCAUGAUGGCACCGCAUGCUGCAUGGUGGGUAAACAGGAAAAAGCUUAUUUUAAAAUGUCAAAAAGUUUUUGGUCCUUGUAAACAUUUAAGUCAUUUGGAAUUUUCAAAACUGUUGUGAAAUCUUGGCUUUGUAUAAUGCCACAUGGUAGUUUUGGUUUGUUUGUUUGGUUUGUUUUUUCCUUUAUUUAGGCAGGGUCUCACUCUGUCACCCAGGCUGGAGUGCAGUGGUACGAUCUCAGCUCACUGCAGCCUCGACCCCCCGGGCUCAAGUGAUCCACCCACCUCAGCCUUCCGAGUAGCUGGGACAACAGGCACGUGCCACCAUGCCUGGCUAAUUUUUGUAUUUUAAGUAGAGGUGGGUUUUCACCAUGUUGUCCUGGCUGGUCUUGAGCAAUCAGCCCACCUCAGACUCCCAAAAUGCUGGGAUUACAGGUGUGAACCACUGUGCUUGGCUCACGUGGUAGUUUUUAUCAAGAAAGAGAGUUAUUGACUUUCCUUGAGAUAAGGAGUUGAGCAACACAAGUCAAUAAAUAUUUGUGUAUAUAAUGAACAUUCCCUUCUUGGAAGAGUACUGGAUGUUCUGAAUAUGAAAGAACACUUGGAUAUAUAAUUGUUUUCCAUGACACUGAAGUUAAGUUAGAAUAAUCAAAGGACUUCCCUAAAAUUGUCUCAGGGGCAUUGUUGUAAAAUUUCAAGCUUUAUCCAGUGAGUAUUUUAAAAAGAUGUAAGAAACAGAUCAACAAUGAGUUAAUUAGCUUAAAAAAAGAAAAAGCAGAUACACUUCAAUUCAGUUUAUUUGGGGAGUAUUAGGUAGAAAAAUAUGUUAUCUAGUAAACUGGGAUGGUUGAUUGCCACUCUGAGGUAAGGCUUGCAAAUUAUACAUUUCUUGUAUGCAAAUUAGUAAAUUAUUUAACAGGACAAUUGGAAAGUUAAUAAUUUAAAAAGGGGGCAGAGGCAGAAAAUGCAUUUCCUUGUACAUCUAUUAUAUUGUAUGCACUCUUGAGAAGCAGUGGUGAAUGUCAAGAACUGUCCAUUCCUCUUAUAUAGUUCUAAAUCUUCUAUUUGUAUCUUGGCAGAAAUAGGAUUUGUUGUGCAGUACCUUCUGGGAGUAUUAGGAUUCACAUGGGAAUGUUCCAUCAAUAAUACAGUGUUGCCCCAGCUUCAAGAAUAAAUACCCUGUAGAACCUAGAUUUAAAAGGCCAUUAAUAAGGCAAACAAUGAUAAACAGUGGGGGAAAAACCAUAAAAGAAAACUUUCCUUUUUCCAUAAAGGAAAAGCAGCAGUGAUUAGGAGGGAAUAUUCAAUUCUUCUAGAACUGGUAGAAUCUAUACUGGUGGUAUUAUCAGGAUUUAGUCUGUUUAGAAAAUCCCAGUAGAAAAAAAUCUCAAUGACUACUUUGCAAGACACAAACCUGGGUUCAACUAUACAUUCGACUGCAUUUUUUAUUCUUUGAGAGGUUGUAGAUAUAGACUCUAUAGGACUAAAAUAACUUAAGAGAGGAUGUCAUCUGUCUCACAAGGUAUUAUCUAUAAUCCUGAAAUAUUGCCUGUUAUGAAGAAGUGUUUCUCUUUUGCUGCAUUUCUCAUUGUAAGUCAUCUAAUCAGCAUUUAUAGACCCUGCCAUGGACAGAACAAUAGAUGCUUUCGACAAUACAAAAUAAUUAGAAAAUGUGGUGUUUGCUCUUAAGGACCUCACAAAGGGAGGCAAAAUAUCUCUUUGCAAAACUAGAAAUGUGCAAAUAAACUGUCAUAAUUAUUGAAUAAAGUGACCACAAGAAUUGAGGGAGUGUUAACAGGAGAGUGAAGAGAAUGAGUCAGGGUGCUCAUGGACAGCAUUUUGGAUGAUGUUGUCCUGAUUCAUAAACCACGACUGAGAUGGGGCUAGGAAAAAGAAUAUCUAAUCAGCGGAAAUAAAAUGUAAAACUUCAAGCACAGCAGUGAGAACAUUUUGGGAUGAUGUGUGGAUGGAUGUUGGAGUGGAAGGAUAAAGAAGACCUGAGGAUUAGCUUGCUUGCAGCUAAUUAAGGAACUCAUGGAGAAAUAAGCAUCCUCUACCAAACUGAAAGCUGCUGACUAGUUUGAGAUCUACUUCAUUCCAUGAAUCAACAGGACACCCAAAUUACAAGGUCAGUAUUGCAUUUUAAAAUAAUUAUGUGUAAUUCAUAGCAAAACAUCACCAAAAGAGGAAACAUGAGAAAUGUCAUAAUUUGUAUCAAGUGCUUGAUUUAUGUAUAUUUUACAUUUACUAUUAUCUUGUUACUUUGAUAUUUCAAAUAUUAUCUAUUUUCUUGGUUCCAGAACCUAGCAUGAAUUAGUUCCGUGAUGUCAGAAAACAACUUCUUAAAAGUUUGAACUUGGAUUUGUUGAAGAAGUUUAAGACUAUGAGCUCAUAAAGGACAGAUUUUGUUUUAUUUACUUUAUUAAGUAUCGCAUUCUUAAUAGUAUAACGUUUGCUUAGCUGUAUAACAUAUUUUGUGUUAAUGAUGGUGAUGAUUAAGUGAUAACUGCGAAAAGCAAGAAGUGAAAAAGAAGUCAGAAUCUAGUGUAGAUAGUUGUUCUGCAAUACUAAUAUUAUACAUUUGUAUAGUGUUGUACAUUUUUAAAUAAUUACAGUUAUAAAUUAUCCUACAUGGCUGUCAUAACAGCCUGAAAAUGAUAAGAAGUGUAUAUUAUUCUCAUUUUAUAACUGGGUAAACAGAAAAUCUGAGAUUAGUUAUUUUGUUUUAGGCCACCCAGUGAGGGUCAAAAGAGCACAGAAAUGUUACACAAUAGCAUUUAAAAUAAGCAAUGAGAUGAAAAGGUAAAAUCGAAAAUUUGAUAGAGGCUCUUAAAAAUAAAGUCAGAAAGUAUGGAAUAGAUAGUAAAGACAAAGGAAAACUUCCAAAGGGAAUGGGAGGUAGCAAAAUGAAAUGAAGGAAAAAAUAGUUUCGCAUUCAUUUGCCAAUCAGAUUAUUCUAGAUGUAUAUUCCCGGAUUUGACUAUUCAACUUUUAGAAGAACAGAUAAAGCAGGAGGUCAGGACCGCCAGACAAAAAAUUAAAGUGGUUCAGAUCAGUAAUAAAUUCUAGUGUGCUGGGCUGAUAUAAAAUGCUAUAAUGAGUGGUCUUUCUUAUUUCUUUAAAAAAAUCUUUAAAUUUCACCUGAUAUAACUCUAGCUAAUGUGCUUCACAGAAAUGAAUGAGUCACUUACAAAUUCACCAGUUGCAUUUCUGCUUCUACUCCUUGUUUUACAUUUUUAUACAAAAAGUGUUAGUAAAUGAAUGCCAUUUUAAAUUACAUGUUUUAAAAUAUCUCAAGUUUUACAGUCCAAAGAAUAGCUUAAACAAGCACCUUUAUAUACUAACAUCUCUAAUAUCUCUAAUUAAAAUAGUAUUAGCUUUGAGGAUAGCAGAGUAAAGAAAACCACAAUUCAUAAACUUACUAGUUAUUAUUCUCUGCUGUGGACAUCAUCCACUGUUUUUUUCUUAAGUGUAGCAUAUAGACAUAACAAUACUCGUGUUCAAGUAAUAUAUGCAGAUACAUACGUGUGAUACUAUUAUUUGUUUGCUUUCUUUAAUCUUAGGUUGUUCAAAGAUUGAUAAAGUGCUACAAACACUUGACUUUGUGAGCUUUAUGUAUUCAGUCAUUACAAGUAAGCUGUAGUGAUGGCAAUUAGUAUAGCUGUGAACAGGUAUGCUGAUCAUCUAGUCCAGCUUAAUAGUCUCCGAAAUGAAGAGAUGAAAUAUGUUAGCUUAGCCAGAAAUGUUAUGUGUGUGAGUGUAUGUGUGUGAGAGAGAAUUUGCCCCAGAAAGAAAUAACUGAAAUGGCUGUAGGAUCAAAUAGUGACACAGACUUGCACAUCCCCAGAUUCACCAGACAGACCUUACACAUCCUAACCUUCCAAGGAAUGCUUUAAAGUCUCAAACAUAGCCCAUCAGCUUUCAGCAAUUAAUUAACCAUGGCAGGAUUAGUUCUAAAUUUUGUUCCUCCAAGAAGGAAAUCAUUUUUAUUCUGUCUUGACCACAGAUUAUUAAUAUAGCUGAUGAAUUAUCUGUGCCUUAUUCAAGUGUAAUAAGCUCCAUUUAAAGGAGACUCGGCUUCAUACGAUUUAAUUUUAGUUAGUAUCCAAAGGAUAGUAUUUCUCGGCAAUUGACAGCUUGUUGUUAGUCACAUGGUUUAGCUUUCUCCAAAUUCAUUUGAAAAUAGUGCAUUGUGUAUGUUCUUCACUGUUAAAAGCAGGGAUUAAAGAGGAAGUCAUCCCAAAGUUAGUAAAAAUUAGCGUAAUGAGAAUUUAAAAAUAUAUUCCAUGAGACACUUAAGUAGUGCUAGAUAUAGUCCAAGAUUUUUGUUUGUUUGUUUUGGUAAAAUGCUAAAAAGACAGUACAUUGUAGAAUAUUCAUUGUAGACAUGCUUACAUUUAGAUGUCUUAUAUUCAGGGACUCUUAUGAUGAUCUAAUUCUUUGGCUUGCUAUAAGAGAGCCCUUCCCUCUAAUUCCUGAUAUUGGUUAUUUGUUUGAAAAUAAAACCUGUUAGUUCUCUGCAGUGCUGAGAAUGUAUUACCUAGUGCAACUCUGGCUGCAGAUGCAUCAUAGUUGAUCCAAAAAGACACCCAGGACAGAAUUGUAAUCAGUGUAGAAGGCAUGUAGGUUUGCAAAAUGAAGUAACCAAUGUUUCUCUUUAGACGAAAA